rnacentral:rRNA from 1 species
CGCAUUCCGUGCUUAGCGACCUGGCUCUAUGUUCUCGCCCACUUCCGGGAGGCAGCAGUGGGGAAUAUUGGACAAUGGGGGAAAGCCUGAUCCAGCCAUUCCGCGUGUGUGAAGAAGGUCUUCGGAUAGUAAAGCACUUUAAGUUGGGAGGAAGGGCAGUAANUUAAUACCUUCGUUUUUGACGUUACCGACAGAAUAAGGACCGUUAGCAAC